GCCGACUUAGCUCAGUAGGCAGAGCAACUGACUUGUAAUCAGUAGGCCACCAGUUCGACUCCGGUAGUCGGCACCA
rnacentral:tRNA from 1 species